GGCCUUGUAGCUCAGCUGGUUAGAGUGAUGACCUGAUAUGCCAAGGUUGUGGGUUCGAUCCCCAGUCAAGGCCC